rnacentral:misc_RNA from 1 species
GAAAUGCGAUAAGUAAUGUGAAUUGCAGAAUUCAGUGAAUCAUCGAAUCUUUGAACGCACCUUGCGCUCCUUGGUAUUUCCUUGGAGCAUGCCUGUUUGAGUAUCAUGAAAUCUUCAAAGUAAAUCUUUUGUUAACUCAAUUGGUUUCUACUUUGGUAUUGGAGGUCUUUGCAGCUUCACACCUGCUCCUCUUUGUUCAUUAGCUGGAUCUCAGUGUUAUGCUUGGUUCCACUCGGCGUGAUAAGUUAUCUAUCGCUGAGGACACUGUAAAAGGUGGCCAAGGUAAAUGCAGAUGAACCGCUUCUAAUAGUCCAUUGACUUGGACAAUACUUUUAUGAUCUGAUCUCAAAUCAGGUAGGACUACCCGCUGAACUUAAGC